CCUACGGGCGGCAGCAGUGAGGAAUAUUGGUCAAUGGGCGAGAGCCUGAACCAGCCAAGUCGCGUGAGGGAGUACUGCCCUAUGGGUUGUAAACCUCUUUUGUCGGGGAGCAAAAGCCGGACGUGUCCGGCUGUGAGAGUACCCGAAGAAAAAGCAUCGGCUAAAUCCGUGCCAGCAGCCGCGGUAAUACGGAGGAUGCGAGCGUUAUCCGGAUUUAUUGGGUUUAAAGGGUGCGCAGGCGGAUUUUUAAGUCAGCGGUAAAAUCGUGGGGCUCAACCCCAUCCAGCCGUUGAAACUGGGGAUCUAGAGUGUGCGAGAGGUAUGCGGAAUGCGUGGUGUAGCGGUGAAAUGCAUAGAUAUCACGCAGAACCCCGAUUGCGAAGGCAGCAUACCGGUGCACAACUGACGCUCAGGCACGAAAGCGUGGGUAUCGAACAGGAUUAGAUACCCUUGUAGUC
rnacentral:rRNA from 1 species